rnacentral:rRNA from 1 species
UCAUUCUUUAAAAGACUGAAGACCGUUAUGGAAAAAUGGAAGGAGCUCGGAAGCUAAGCAGGGUCGGGCCUGGUUAGUAUUUGGAUGGGACACCGCCUGGGAAUACCAGGU